rnacentral:rRNA from 1 species
CACGUAGGCACCAAGCGUUGUCCGGAUUUAUUGGGCGUAAAGAGCUCGUAGGCGGUUCAGUAAGUCGAACGUGAAAUCCCCGGGCUCAACCCGGGAACUGCGUCCGAUACUGGCAGGCUUGAAUCCGGGAGAGGGAUGUGGAAUUCCAGGUGUAGCGGUGAAAUGCGUAGAUAUCUGGAGGAACACCGGUGGCGAAGGCGGCAUCCUGGACCGGUAUUGACGCUGAGGCGCGAAAGCCAGGGGAGCAAACGGG